rnacentral:rRNA from 1 species
GCUCAUUAAAUCAGUUAUAGUUUAUUUGAUGGUCUUGUACUCGGAUACCUGUUGGAAUCCAAGAGCUAAUACGUGCGCAACUCCCGACUUCUGGAAGGGACGUAUUUAUUAGAUAAAAAACCAAACUUGUUUCUCGGUGACUCAUGAUAACUGAUCGGAUCGCAUGGCCUCGUGCCGGCGACGUUUCAUUCAAAUUUCUGCCCUAUCAACUGUCGAUGGUAGGAUAGAGGCCUACCAUGGUGGUAACGGGUGACGGAGAAUUAGGGUUCGAUUCCGGAGAGGGAGCCUGA